UACGUAGGGUGCGAGCGUUAAUCGGAAUUACUGGGCGUAAAGCGUGCGCAGGCGGUUCGCUGUGUCCGAUGUGAAAGCCCCGGGCUUAACCUGGGAAUGGCAUUGGAAACUGGCGGGCUUGAGUGCGGCAGAGGGGGGUGGAAUUCCGCGUGUAGCAGUGAAAUGCGUAGAGAUGCGGAGGAACACCGAUGGCGAAGGCAGCCCCCUGGGCCAAUACUGACGCUCAGGCACGAAAGCGUGGGGAGCAAACAGG
rnacentral:rRNA from 1 species